CUGUUGUGUGUGAAUACACACUCACCAUUAUGAACCAUACCGACUUUGUAAGCUGGAGGAAAUGGGAAUUAAGGACACAGGCACUAACAGGUGAUUUUUUUUGUGACACUGUGGCGUGUGAAUACACACUCACCAUUAUGAACCAUACCGACUUUGUAAGCUGGAGGAAAUGGGAAUUAAGGACACAGGCACUAACAGGUGAUUUUUUUGUGACGCUGUUGCGUGUGAAUACACACUCACCAUUAUGAACCAUACCGACUUUGUAAGCUGGAGGAAAUGGGAUUUAAGGACACAGGCACUAACAGGUGAUUUGUUUGUGACGCUGUUGCGUGUGAAUAGGGAGGAACACACACUCACCAUUAUGAACCAUACCAACUUUGUAAGCUGGAGGAAAUGGGAAUUAAGGACACAGGCACUAACAGGUGAUUUUUUGUGACACUGUUGUGUGUGAAUAGGGAGGAACACACACUCACCAUUAUGAACCAUACCGACUUUGUAAGCUGGAGGAAAUGGGAAUUAAGGACACAGGCACUAACAGGUGAUUUUUUGUGACACUGUUGUGUGUGAAUAGGGAGGAACACACACUCACCAUUAUGAACCAUACCGACUUUGUAAGCUGGAGGAGAUGGGAAUUAAGGACACAGGCACUAACAGGUGAUUUUUUUGUGACGCUGUGGCGUGUGAAUAGGGAGGAACACACACUCACCAUUAUGAACCAUACCGACUUUGUAAGCUGGAGGAAAUGGGAAUUAAGGACACAGGCACUAACAGGUGAUUUUUUUGUGACGCUGUGGCGUGUGAAUAGGGAGGAACACACACUCACCAUUAUGAACCAUACCGACUUUGUAAGCUGGAGGAAAUGGGAAUUAAGGACACAGGCACUAACAGGUGAUUUUUUGUGACACUGUUGUGUGUGAAUAGGGAGGAACACACACUCACCAUUAUGAACCAUACCGACUUUGUAAGCUGGAGGAGAUGGGAAUUAAGGACACAGGCACUAACAGGUGAUUUUUUGUGACACUGUUGUGUGUGAAUACACACUCACCAUUAUGAACCAUACCGACUUUGUAAGCUGGAGGAAAUGGGAAUUAAGGACACAGGCACUAACAGGUGAUUUUUUGUGACACUGUUGUGUGUGAAUAGGGAGGAACACACACUCACCAUUAUGAACCAUACCGACUUUGUAAGCUGGAGGAGAUGGGAAUUAAGGACACAGGCACUAACAGGUGAUUUUUUGUGACACUGUUGUGUGUGAAUAGGGAGGAAUACACACUCACCAUUAUGAACCAUACCGACUUUGUAAGCUGGAGGAAAUGAGAAUUAAGGACACAGGCAGUAACAGGUGAUUUUUUUGUGAUGCUGUUGCGUGUGAAUAGGGAGGAACACACACUCACCAUUAUGAACCAUACCGACUUUGUAAGCUGGAGGAAAUGGGAAUUAAGGACACAGGCACUAACAGGUGAUUUUUUGUGACACUGUUGUGUGUGAAUAGGGAGGAACACACACUCACCAUUAUGAACCAUACCGACUUUGUAAGCUGGAGGAAAUGGGAAUUAAGGACACAGGCAGUAACAGGUGAUUUUUUGUGACACUGUUGUGUGUGAAUAGGGAGGAACACACACUCACCAUUAUGAACCAUACCGACUUUGUAAGCUGGAGGAAAUGGGAUUUAAGGACACAGGCACUAACAGGUGAUUUUUUGUGACACUGUUGUGUGUGAAUAGGGAGGAACACACACUCACCAUUAUGAACCAUACCGACUUUGUAAGCUGGAGGAAAUGGGAAUUAAGGACACAGGCAGUAACAGGUGAUUUUUUUGUGAUGCUGUUGCGUGUGAAUAGGGAGGAACACACACUCACCAUUAUGAACCAUACCGACUUUGUAAGCUGGAGGAAAUGGGAAUUAAGGACACAGGCACUAACAGGUGAUUUUUUGUGACACUGUUGUGUGUGAAUAGGGAGGAACACACACUCACCAUUAUGAACCAUACCGACUUUGUAAGCUGGAGGAAAUCGGAUUUAAGGACACAGGCACUAACAGGUGAUUUUUUGUGAUGCUGUUGUGUGUGAAUAGGGAGGAACACACACUCACCAUUAUGAACCAUACCGACUUUGUAAGCUGGAGGAAAUGGGAUUUAAGGACACAGGCACUAACAGGUGAUUUUUUGUGACACUGUUGUGUGUGAAUAGGGAGGAACACACACUCACCAUUAUGAACCAUACCGACUUUGUAAGCUGGAGGAAAUGGGAAUUAAGGACACAGGCAGUAACAGGUGAUUUUUUGUGACACUGUUGUGUGUGAAUAGGGAGGAACACACACUCACCAUUAUGAACCAUACCGACUUUGUAAGCUGGAGGAAAUGGGAUUUAAGGACACAGGCACUAACAGGUGAUUUUUUGUGACACUGUUGUGUGUGAAUAGGGAGGAACACACACUCACCAUUAUGAACCAUACCGACUUUGUAAGCUGGAGGAAAUGGGAAUUAAGGACACAGGCAGUAACAGGUGAUUUUUUUGUGAUGCUGUUGCGUGUGAAUACACACUCACCAUUAUGAACCAUACCGACUUUGUAAGCUGGAGGAAAUGGGAAUUAAGGACACAGGCACUAACAGGUGAUUUUUUGUGACACUGUUGUGUGUGAAUAGGGAGGAACACACACUCACCAUUAUGAACCAUACCGACUUUGUAAGCUGGAGGAAAUGGGAAUUAAGGACACAGGCAGUAACAGGUGAUUUUUUUGUGACGCUGUUGCGUGUGAAUAGGGAGGAACACACAC